CCGCACAAGCGGUGGAGCAUGUGGUUUAAUUCGAUGAUACGCGAGGAACCUUACCAGGGCUUAAAUGCAUAUUGACAGUUCUAGAGAUAGAAUUUCCUUCGGGCAAUUUGCAAGGUGCUGCAUGGUUGUCGUCAGCUCGUGCCGUGAGGUGUCAGGUUAAGUCCUAUAACGAGCGCAACCCCUGCCGUUAGUUGCCAGCAUGUAAAGAUGGGGACUCUAACGGGACUGCCGGUGCAAACCGUGAGGAAGGUGGGGAUGACGUCAAAUCAUCACGGCCCUUACGUCCUGGGCCACACACGUGCUACAAUGGCCGGUACAGAGAGCAGCCAUGCCGCAAGGCAGAGCGAAUCUACAAAACCGGUCACAGUUCGGAUCGGGGUCUGCAACCCGACCCCGUGAAGCUGGAAUCGCUAGUAAUCGGAUAUCAGCCAUGAUCCGGUGAAUACGUUCCCGGGCCUUGUACACACCGCCCGUCAAGCCAUGGAAGCCGGGAGUGCCUGAAGUCCGUCACCUCAAGGAGCGGCCUAGGGCAAGAUCGGUAACUAGGGCU
rnacentral:rRNA from 1 species